UGGGGAAUUUUGGACAAUGGGCGAAAGCCUGAUCCAGCAAUGCCGCGUGUGUGAAGAAGGCCUUCGGGUUGUAAAGCACUUUUGUCCGGAAAGAAAUCCUUGGCUCUAAUACAGUCGGGGGAUGACGGUACCGGAAGAAUAAGCACCGGCUAACUACGUGCCAGCAGCCGCGGUAAUACGUAGGGUGCAAGCGUUAAUCGGAAUUACUGGGCGUAAAGCGUGCGCAGGCGGUUUGCUAAGACCGAUGUGAAAUCCCCGGGCUCAACCUGGGAACUGCAUUGGUGACUGGCAGGCUAGAGUAUGGCAGAGGGGGGUAGAAUUCCACGUGUAGCAGUGAAGUGCGUAGAGAUGUGGAGGAAUACCGAUGGCGAAGGCAGCCCCCUGGGCCAAUACUGACGCUCAUGCACGAAAGCGUGGGGAGCAAACAGGAUUAGAUACCCUGGUAGUCCACGCCCUAAACGAUGUCAACUAGUUGUUGGGGAUUCAUUUCCUUAGUAACGUAGCUAACGCGUGAAGUUGACCGCCUGGGGAGUACGGUCGCAAGAUUAAAACUCAAAUGAAUUGACGGGGUCAUAGCUGUUUCCU
rnacentral:rRNA from 1 species